CCUACGGGCGGCAGCAGUGGGGAAUAUUGCACAAUGGGGGAAACCCUGAUGCAGCGACGCCGCGUGAGUGAAGAAGUAUUUCGGUAUGUAAAGCUCUGUCAGCAGGGAAGAAAAUGACGGUACCUGACCAAGAAGCCCCGGCUAACUACGUGCCAGCAGCCGCGGUAAUACGUAGGGGGCAAGCGUUAUCCGGAUUUACUGGGUGUAAAGGGAGCGUAGACGGCAGGGCAAGUCUGGAGUGAAAGGCGGGGGCUCAACCCCCGGACUGCUCUGGAAACUGCCAGGCUGGAGUGCAGGAGAGGUAAGUGGAAUUCCUAGUGUAGCGGUGAAAUGCGUAGAUAUUAGGAGGAACACUCAUUGCGAAGGCGACCUGCUAGAACAUAACUGACGCUGAUGCGCGAAAGCGUGGGGAGCAAACAGGAUUAGAUACCCCGGUAGUC
rnacentral:rRNA from 1 species